GGCGGCAGCUACACAUGCAGUCGAGCGGUAGAGAGAAGCUUGCUUCUCUUGAGAGCGGCGGACGGGUGAGUAAUGCCUAGGAAUCUGCCUGGUAGUGGGGGAUAACGUUCGGAAACGGACGCUAAUACCGCAUACGUCCUACGGGAGAAAGCAGGGGACCUUCGGGCCUUGCGCUAUCAGAUGAGCCUAGGUCGGAUUAGCUAGUUGGUGAGGUAAUGGCUCACCAAGGCGACGAUCCGUAACUGGUCUGAGAGGAUGAUCAGUCACACUGGAACUGAGACACGGUCCAGACUCCUACGGGAGGCAGCAGUGGGGAAUAUUGGACAAUGGGCGAAAGCCUGAUCCAGCCAUGCCGCGUGUGUGAAGAAGGUCUUCGGAUUGUAAAGCACUUUAAGUUGGGAGGAAGGGUUGUAGAUUAAUACUCUGCAAUUUUGACGUUACCGACAGAAUAAGCACCGGCUAACUCUGUGCCAGCAGCCGCGGUAAUACAGAGGGUGCAAGCGUUAAUCGGAAUUACUGGGCGUAAAGCGCGCGUAGGUGGUUUGUUAAGUUGGAUGUGAAAUCCCCGGGCUCAACCUGGGAACUGCAUUCAAAACUGACUGACUAGAGUAUGGUAGAGGGUGGUGGAAUUUCCUGUGUAGCGGUGAAAUGCGUAGAUAUAGGAAGGAACACCAGUGGCGAAGGCGACCACCUGGACUAAUACUGACACUGAGGUGCGAAAGCGUGGGGAGCAAACAGGAUUAGAUACCCUGGUAGUCCACGCCGUAAACGAUGUCAACUAGCCGUUGGAAGCCUUGAGCUUUUAGUGGCGCAGCUAACGCAUUAAGUUGACCGCCUGGGGAGUACGGCCGCAAGGUUAAAACUCAA
rnacentral:rRNA from 1 species